AAAAUUUUACGGCUCAACUUUUAGGUUUUGCAACAAUGGUAUACACAACUUAUUGAAUAAAAACUAUCAUAACAGCAAAAAAAAACACAAUAGAAAAAUAAUACAAAGAUGUGAAAAAUAAGAGAAAUACACCCUCUAACUUAAACCAGACAUUAUCUCCCAAUGUUCCAAUUCAAGUAGGGAGAGGUAAAGAGAAAACUCACAAACACCUCAUUGAGGACGUGAGAAGCUUAACAUAAGAAAAUUGCAGAAAUUCUGUUUUUUUCUUCGUAAUUCUAAUGAUU
rnacentral:lncRNA from 1 species